rnacentral:rRNA from 1 species
AUGUAGUUUGAUUCUGGCUCCCCGGUUGGAACCUCCUCGUUUAAACUCAAUGCAAAUCUUGGUGAUCCCGUGAGGGAGAACAACCCCUUAAAGGUAUUUUGUCAAGUGACAAAUCUCAACAUGUGUAUUGCUAUUCAGGGAACUCACGCCUGCAGAGUAAAAGUCUGGAACAGCUACGAAAGUAGACACCGAACCUGGUAUAAGGCUGACAAACAAGGGGUGCCAGCAGUCGCGGUUACACCCUGGGCUUCUCCAACCCUGACGGUAUCGCACCUUACUCUAAAAUGAAGACAAACCUUAACUUCUCCUACGGUUCAAUGUGCAGAAGCAACUUGCCUUACUUGUCGUGUCGAGUACCUGCGUAAGCGUGGACCGAAACAAGGAUUUGAUACCCUUUUAUCCCUCGCCGUGAAAAUAAAUGACUGGGUAGUACGAGCACAUGCUUAAAAUACAAAGAAAUUGGCGGCUACUCAACCUCCCAGGGGAACCUGUCACUGAAAUUGAUGAUCCACGUGGCGCGUAACCUGCCCUUGCUGCCAGCCCAUGUACGGCCGUCGACAGCUCUUUCCGCGAGGACAUUGCCCAAAAGUCUUUCGCUUCCAAGUCAGGUAAUUGUGUGGCCAAUGGGCAGGAGUGAUGGGUUACAACCGCUAAGAUCGCGCAGUCCCGAGACUAAGCCUAAAGCUACUUCAUAAGAAGGACUUGGCAGUAAAAAGGUAUGCCUUACCUUUUGAAGUGUUUGCCAUCUGGGUAGUGUACAGAUCGCCCGUCACCCUCGCCGUGAGGUGGGAUAAGUCGUAACAAGGUAGGUGUAGCGGAAGCUGCACCUA